rfam:Egretta garzetta contig23338, whole genome shotgun sequence.
CUUGAGGCUUUAUUAAAAGCCAUUAAUUAAUAAUUAAUUAUGAAG